rnacentral:rRNA from 1 species
ACUAUGGGACUGUAUACCUCGGGACUGAGAAUAAUGCCCGAUAGAACAUUAUGCCUGGAAUGGUUUAUGUUUCAAAUGAUUUAUCGCCAUAGGAUGGGACUGCGGCCUAUCAGUUUGUUGGUGAGGUAAUGGCCCACCAAGACUAUUACAGGUACGGGCUCUGAGAGGAGUAGCCCGGAGAUGGGUACUGAGACACGGACCCAGGCCCUAUGGGGCGCAGCAGGCGAGAAAACUUUGCAAUGUGCGAAAGCACGACAAGGUUAAUCCGAGUGGUUUCUGCUAAAGAAACCUUUUGUCAGUCCUAGAAACACUGACGAAUAAGGGGUGGGCAAGUUCUGGUGUCAGCCGCCGCGGUAAAACCAGCACCUCAAGUGGUCAGGAUGAUUAUUGGGCCUAAAGCAUCCGUAGCUCGUUUUGUAAGUUUUCGGUUAAAUCCAUGCGCUUAACGUAUGGGCUGCCGGGAAUACUGCAUAACUAGGAAGUGGGAGAGGUAGACGGUACUCGGUAGGAAGGGGUAAAAUCCUUUGAUCUAUUGAUGACCACCUGUGGCGAAGGCGGUCUACCAGAACACGUUCGACGGUGAGGGAUGAAAGCUGGGGGAGCAAACCGGAUUAGAUACCCGGGUAGUCCCAGCUGUAAACUAUGCAAACUCAGUGAUGCAUUGGCUUGUGGCCAAUGCAGUGCUGCAGGGAAGCCGUUAAGUUUGCCGCCUGGGAAGUACGUACGCAAGUAUGAAACUUAAAGGAAUUGGCGGGGGAGCAC